rnacentral:rRNA from 1 species
UACGUAGGGGGCAAGCGUUAUCCGGAAUUACUGGGUUUAAAGGGUGCGUAGGCGGACUGUCAAGUCAGCGGUAAAAUUGAGAGGCUCAACCUCUUCCCGCCGUUGAAACUGGUGGUCUUGAGUGGAUGAGAAGUACGCGGAAUGCGUGGUGUAGCGGUGAAAUGCAUAGAUAUCACGCAGAACUCCGAUUGCGAAGGCAGCGUACCGGCAUCCAACUGACGCUGAGGCACGAAAGCGUGGGGAUCAAGCAGG